rnacentral:rRNA from 1 species
AUAAUGGGUCAGCGACUUAUAUUCUGUAGCAAGGUUAACCGAAUAGGGGAGCCGAAGGGAAACCGAGUCUUAACUGGGCGUUAAGUUGCAGGGUAUAGACCCGAAACCCGGUGAUCUAGCCAUGGGCAGGUUGAAGGUUGGGUAACACUAACUGGAGGACCGAACCGACUAAUGUUGAAAAAUUAGCGGAUGACUUGUGGCUGGGGGUGAAAGGCCAAUCAAACCGGGAGAUAGCUGGUUCUCCCCGAAAGCUAUUUAGGUAGCGCCUCGUGAAUUCAUCUCCGGGGGUAGAGCACUGUUUCGGCAAGGGGGUCAUCCCGACUUACCAACCCGAUGCAAACUGCGAAUACCGGAGAAUGUUAUCACGGGAGACACACGGCGGGUGCUAACGUCCGUCGUGAAGAGGGAAACAACCCAGACCGCCAGCUAAGGUCCCAAAGUCAUGGUUAAGUGGGAAACGAUGUGGGAAGGCCCAGACAGCCAGGAUGUUGGCUUAGAAGCAGCCAUCAUUUAAAGAAAGCGUAAUAGCUCACUGGUCGAGUCGGCCUGCGCGGAAGAUGUAACGGGGCUAAACCAUGCACCGAAGCUGCGGCAGCGACGCUGAUGCGUUGUUGGGUAGGGGAGCGUUCUGUAAGCCUGCGAAGGUGUGCUGUGAGGCA